rnacentral:rRNA from 3 species
CAAGACAACUUUACGGAGUUGACGAUUGACGGAGCGAAGCGACGUCAAAGCGUUCAUUAAAGUCGAGUUGGCUUAGGGAUACGUUCGUUGGGUAGGGGAGCGUUCUGUAAGCCUGUGAAGGUGUGUCGUGAGGCAUGCUGGAGGUAUCAGAAGUGCGAAUGCUGACAUAAGUAACGAUAAAGCGGGUGAAAAGCCCGCUCGCCGGAAGACCAAGGGUUCCUGUCCAACGUUAAUCGGGGCAGGGUGAGUCGACCCCUAAGGCGAGGCCGAAAGGCGUAGUCGAUGGGAAACGGGUUAAUAUUCCCGUACUUGGUGUUACUGCGAAGGGGGGACGGAGAAGGCUAUGUUGGCCGGGCGACGGUUGUCCCGGUUUAAGCGUGUAGGUGUGUGUUCCAGGUAAAUCCGGUUCACUUUAACACUGAGGCGUGACGACGAGGCACUACGGUGCUGAAGCAACAAAUGCCCUGCUUCCAGGAAAAGCCUCUAAGCAUCAGGUAACACGAAAUCGUACCCCAAACCGACACAGGUGGUCAGGUAGAGAAUACCAAGGCGCUUGAGAGAACUCGGGUGAAGGAACUAGGCAAAAUGGUGCCGUAACUUCGGGAGAAGGCACGCUGACACGUAGGUGAAGUGAUUUACUCAUGGAGCUGAAGUCAGUCGAAGAUACCAGCUGGCUGCAACUGUUUAUUAAAAACACAGCACUGUGCAAACACGAAAGUGGACGUAUACGGUGUGACGCCUGCCCGGUGCCGGAAGGUUAAUUGAUGGGGUCAGCGUAAGCGAAGCUCCUGAUCGAAGCCCCGGUAAACGGCGGCCGUAACUAUAACGGUCCUAAGGUAGCGAAAUUCCUUGUCGGGUAAGUUCCGACCUGCACGAAUGGCGUAAUGAUGGCCAGGCUGUCUCCACCCGAGACUCAGUGAAAUUGAACUCGCUGUGAAGAUGCAGUGUACCCGCGGCAAGACGGAAAGACCCCGUGAACCUUUACUAUAGCUUGACACUGAACAUUGAGCCUUGAUGUGUAGGAUAGGUGGGAGGCUUUGAAGUGUGGACGCCAGUCUGCAUGGAGCCGACCUUGAAAUACCACCCUUUAAUGUUUGAUGUUCUAACGUGGACCCGUAAUCCGGGUUGCGGACAGUGUCUGGUGGGUAGUUUGACUGGGGCGGUCUCCUCCUAAAGAGUAACGGAGGAGCACGAAGGUUGGCUAAUCCUGGUCGGACAUCAGGAGGUUAGUGCAAUGGCAUAAGCCAGCUUGACUGCGAGCGUGACGGCGCGAGCAGGUGCGAAAGCAGGUCAUAGUGAUCCGGUGGUUCUGAAUGGAAGGGCCAUCGCUCAACGGAUAAAAGGUACUCCGGGGAUAACAGGCUGAUACCGCCCAAGAGUUCAUAUCGACGGCGGUGUUUGGCACCUCGAUGUCGGCUCAUCACAUCCUGGGGCUGAAGUAGGUCCCAAGGGUAUGGCUGUUCGCCAUUUAAAGUGGUACGCGAGCUGGGUUUAGAACGUCGUGAGACAGUUCGGUCCCUAUCUGCCGUGGGCGCUGGAGAACUGAGGGGGGCUGCUCCUAGUACGAGAGGACCGGAGUGGACGCAUCACUGGUGUUCGGGUUGUCAUGCCAAUGGCACUGCCCGGUAGCUAAAUGCGGAAGAGAUAAGUGCUGAAAGCAUCUAAGCACGAAACUUGCCCCGAGAUGAGUUCUCCCUGAGACUUAGAGUCUCCUGAAGGAACGUUGAAGACGACGACGUUGAUAGGCCGGGUGUGUAAGCGCAGCGAUGCGUUGAGCUAACCGGUACUAAUGAACCGUGAGGCUUAACCUUACAACGCCGAAG